GAUGGCCAUGUCAUGUUGAAACACCAGUUCUUGUACAAUCACCAAAGUUAAGCAACAUUGAGCCUGAUCAAUACCUAGAUUGGUGACUGCUUAGGAAUAUCAGGUGCUGUAA